UCGAAAUAAACCUGAACAGGCUGUUGCUGGCCCUUCUAGGGUAGUGUGCACGCUUGUCAUUUAUUUGUUUAUUUUUCCACCUGUGCACCUUUCUGUAGACCCUUAGGAUUUUGGGACUGCUGUGCCAAGUGGCCAGCUUUUCCUUUGUCCCUCUCUAGGUUCUAUGUUUCUCACAUACUCCUACGAAUGUAAUAGAAUGUUGAUCUGGGUCUUUGAUGCCCAUAAAGUUAUAUA
rnacentral:misc_RNA from 1 species